AUGAACGCUGGCGGCGUGCCUCAUACAUGCAAGUCGAGCGAACGGACGAGAAGCUUGCUUCUCUGAUGUUAGCGGCGGACGGGUGAGUAACACGUGGAUAACCUACCUAUAAGACUGGGAUAACUUCGGGAAACCGGAGCUAAUACCGGAUGAUAUUUUGAACCGCAUGGUUCCAAAGUGAAAGACGGUCUUGCUGUCACUUAUAGAUGGAUCCGCGCUGCAUUAGCUAGUUGGUAAGGUAACGGCUUACCAAGGCAACGAUGCAUAGCCGACCUGAGAGGGUGAUCGGCCACACUGGAACUGAGACACGGUCCAGACUCCUACGGGAGGCAGCAGUAGGGAAUCUUCCGCAAUGGGCGAAAGCCUGACGGAGCAACGCCGCGUGAGUGAUGAAGGUCUUCGGAUCGUAAAACUCUGUUAUUAGGGAAGAACAUAUGUGUAAGUAACUGUGCACAUCUUGACGGUACCUAAUCAGAAAGCCACGGCUAACUACGUG
rnacentral:rRNA from 1 species